CUCCUGCCUGACUCAUGUCCUUCAGGACUGUAAGAGCAGAGGACUCUGGGGAGCCCAGGAGGCCAUCCAGUGUCCAGGGAGCUCCAGCCACAUUGGCAGAAACUCGGUCAUCACCUACUGAAAUUGUUGUGUGACCUUAGGCUCUCACAGAUACCUGCAGCUCAGGUGUCUUCUGUGUGUCCUUCCCAUGCACACCCCAAGAACAGAAGUCCCUUGGCAGAAGAGAUACCAGAAAAAACUGGUCAUUGUCGGUAAUGAUGGUGAUGGACGUUCCCGCGGACCUUGGCCCAUUAGAAGGAACAACUUACAGACAGCAGAACCAUUCAGAUGAACUGCAAGUUCCGUGACUGGAAGCAUGCGGACAGGAGUUCGGGUACCACAGCAGGCAAAAUGCCAAGAAGACAUGCAGUACUGCAGCUGCUUCUAGGAGGAAGGGGAGGGGGCCUUAGGGGUAGCUUCUGAGGAGGUGAAGCAGGAACUGGCUCUUUUAGGGUGGGAAGGAGCGGAGAGGCAGGGAUGUGGAGGGGAGGACCCCGGAGGAAUAGCCUGAGUCAAGGCAGCCGUGUGCGGCCUGACAAUUCGUGGAGCUGGGGCAGCAGGGACAGGGAGAGAAGGGUGGAUGGGGGCAAGGCACAGUGAAGGGAACAACUCACCCCUGACAACUCCCUCCCUCAGGGGAGCUCACUCUCCAAAUCCUGUGAGAAGUGACAGGGCUUUUCCGGGACAACAGGCUGCCCAGAGCAUGUUGGAGGAUGCUAGUCCAAGGAUGGAAAGAGGGGACUCUUUAUAGUGUUUAUUAAAUCAAGGAUCAGUUAGGUGUAGGGCGGGGCUGGUGGGGGAGGACAGAGCUCUCAUUGUCCUGCGGGCGGCUCUGUGGGACCAGCCCCGACCUCAACACCUCCUCCCUCAACACAUCCCCAGGACACAAUAUUACAAAAGUG